rnacentral:miRNA from 1 species
CAGAAUGCCCAGUUAAAUUGGAAAUUCAGAUAAACAAUGAAUAUUUUUUUAGUAUAAGUAUGUCCCAUCAAAUAUUUGGGACACACUUAUCCUAAAAAUGAUUAGUUGCUUAUCUGAAAUUUCAAUUUAAC